rnacentral:rRNA from 1 species
CCUACGGGAGGCAGCAGUGAGGAAUAUUGGUCAAUGGACGAGAGUCUGAACCAGCCAAGUAGCGUGAAGGAUGACUGCCCUAUGGGUUGUAAACUUCUUUUAUAAAGGAAUAAAACGAGGCACGUGUGCCUUUUUGCAUGUACUUUAUGAAUAAGGAUCGGCUAACUCCGUGCCAGCAGCCGCGGUAAUACGGAGGAUCCGAGCGUUAUCCGGAUUUAUUGGGUUUAAAGGGAGCGUAGAUGGGUUGUUAAGUCAGUUGUUAAAGUUUGCGGCUCAACCGUAAAAUUGCAAUUGAUACUGGCAGUCUUGAGUACAGUUGAGGUAUGCGGAAUUCGUGGUGUAGCGGUGAAAUGCUUAGAUAUCACGAAGAACCCCGAUUGCGAAGGCAGCUUACUAAACUGUGACUGACAUUGAUGCUCGAAAGUGUGGGUAUCAAACAGGAUUAGAUACCCGGGUAGUC